GAUGAACGCUGGCGGCGUGCCUAAUACAUGCAAGUCGAGCGAACGGACGAGAAGCUUGCUUCUCUGAUGUUAGCGGCGGACGGGUGAGUAACACGUGGAUAACCUACCUAUAAGACUGGGAUAACUUCGGGAAACCGGAGCUAAUACCGGAUAAUAUUUUGAACCGCAUGGUUCAAAAGUGAAAGACGGUCUUGCUGUCACUUAUAGAUGGAUCCGCGCUGCAUUAGCUAGUUGGUAAGGUAACGGCUUACCAAGGCAACGAUGCAUAGCCGACCUGAGAGGGUGAUCGGCCACACUGGAACUGAGACACGGUCCAGACUCCUACGGGAGGCAGCAGUAGGGAAUCUUACGCAAUGGGCGGAAGCCUGACGGAGCAACGCCGCGUGAGUGAUGAAGGUCUUCGGAUCGUAAAACUCUGUUAUUAGGGAAGAACAUAUGUGUAAGUAACUGUGCACAUAUUGACGGUACCUAAUCAGAAAGCCACGGCUAACUACGUG
rnacentral:rRNA from 1 species